rnacentral:rRNA from 1 species
ACCAGACUCCUACGGGAGGCAGCAGUGGGGGAUAUUGCACAAUGGGGGGAACCCUGAUGCAGCGACGCCGCGUGGGUGAAGAAGCGCCUCGGCGCGUAAAGCCCUGUCAGCAGGGAAGAAAAUGACGGUACCUGAAGAAGAAGCCCCGGCUAACUACGUGCCAGCAGCCGCGGUAAUACGGAGGGUGCGAGCGUUAAUCGGAAUUACUGGGCGUAAAGCGCUCGUAGGCGGUAUGUCAAGUCAAGGGUGAAAUCCCCGCGCUCAACGUGGGAACUGCCUUUGAAACUGUAGAGCUUGAGUGUCGGAGAGGGUGGCGGAAUUCCAGGUGUAGGAGUGAAAUCCGUAGAUAUCUGGAGGAACACCGGUGGCGAAGGCGGCCACCUGGACGACAACUGACGCUGAGGUGCGAAAGCGUGGGUAGCAAACAGGAUUAGAUACCCUGGUA